UCGGGUCCGCACCUCGAAAUGUGGGGUCUGCAUCGUGGAACUGGGGUUCCCUCCGUGGGGCUGUUCAUAGCGUGUCCUGUAAGCACAGGAGCUGCCCGCUGUCCCCGUUUGAUGGCAGGUCUCUCCUGGCUGUAACACCGAGUGACUGUCGUCCCCCCCUUCACACAGGGAAUAUUUCAGCGUUAUGAUGUUGCCCUUUGCCCCUAACUCGCUUCUCUUUGAAAGACACGGAUAAACAGUGGCUGAAAAGCUGCGUUUUAGGUGAUGCAACCCUCUCCUCGUUUCCACACGAGGUUCUUUGAGGAAAGAGAAGAGCGUGUCUCUCUGCAGGAGAGACUUUGGGAAGUUUGAAUGGAUUCACGACGCGCUGGGUGACGCGGGUACAGGCAGUCUGCUCGGCGGGAGCGCCGUGUUCUCCAGCAUCCCUGCAAUUUGCGCCCACACAUGAGCUGUUCAAACCCUUGGCGUUACCCUGAGAACUGGGAAGGCUGAAAAAACCCCACCUAAACCCGUAACAUCCCCCCCUUUUGUGUUUAGCGGUGCCCCUCUGUUGGUGUCCGGGGUUCCUAACCUGAGUGAGUGAGUGAACACGGGGCUUUGGAGGCACAAGUUGUGCUGCAGGGGUGGUGGGGUCAGCACAGGAUGGUGCUGAGCACCUGUGGUUUAAGAGUGGGGGGCAGUUGGAUAAGUUUGACUCUUCUGUCAGAAACGCCAGCAUUUGUCACGAGCAUUGUACUCCAGGGCGACAUGUAUUGUCAUCUUGUUGGGUUGGAAAUUAGCGAAAUCUUCUUCUGUUUUGACAGACGGGCUCCUCCUCGCCUCUGAAGUUGACUCAUGUGUUUAAAGCACAGAUCCCAGCACUUCCCUUUUGCAGCCCUGAAAGGGGAAGGAUGGCACAGCAGACCGAGCGCCGGCAGUUCCUCUGCCCAGGGGCCCGGCACUGGUGCUGUCACCCUGCCUGUGCCAGAGCAGAGAUUGGGUCAGAAUUUGCUGCCACAAGUUCCUUGGCCUUGUUGAGAGGCGUCCUGGAGGGCAGGACUCCUUGCUGUGAUGUAGGAGGGUGACACGGAGCAUCUGCGCAGCUCUCCGGGGGUGAGGCAUAUUUGACACCGAAUCUCUUUCAGGAAAAGGGAUUGUCUUCCCUGUCCCCUGCCCCGGCCUCUUCUCACGUCCCUGACGGGGAGGGACAAGUUCAGCUGAGUGGUUGGACGUGUCCCUGGCUUCUCAAAGAGCAGCACAGCUGCUACUGCAGGAUGAUGUCUCUGCAAGAGACCUGUGGAGAGGUAUUCGGGUCCAAAUUACUCAUGGGCUGCAUCAGAGUGGAAAGAUGACCUAAAGCAGGAUCCACAGAAGUGAUUGCAUCGAGUUGUCGUGUUUCAGAUGAUGCUUAAAAGAAUCCUGAUGGCCCAUUGCCAGGAGCCACAGCUGAAAUCUGUCUGCUGCCUGCUUUGGUUGUGCAGUGAACCUUUCCAUUUGGAACGUCAACUCUUUACGUUUAAUAUUUCAAAGUCUUGUAUAACACUGGAAUCCUCCACUGGAGGAUGAGACACAAUUUUGUCUCUCCCUGAUGUUAGUGGUGUCUUCUGGUUGUGUUGUGCUUCCUCUUGGGUCACAAGCAACUGUUAUAUUGUUAAACCUCCUUCUCCCAAACUGAGAGAUGCACUUAGGUAAGGGUUUUGCUGAGAGUCACUUUGCUUAAGAGGACUUUUCAGUGCUUCAGGAAAGCUGAAGAGAGCUUGGAGACAGUGUUCUAGCAGCAGUGAAAACGUUAAGGCCAAUUUUCUUCUCCUUCCAGUGCAAUAGUCCGUGGCAGAGAUGCAUCAUUAAAUAAAAUGAUGCUGUGUGUGAGUUAAUGGAUGGCACUUCUGCUUUCUGUGCAGUCCCCAGGUGAAAACGAGAGAUUCCUUUAUUUUUCUUAUAGAUUAUUGCUAAUUUUUCAGUUUCCCGCCCCCUCAAUUUUAUUUUAUUUUAUGGUACCAAGCAAUUCCUGAAGUGUGGCAUCCCUGAAUUAUCUGCUGUGAAGCAGCCACGGAUGGUCCCAGUCACCCAUGACCUGACCCUGGGUGAUGCACGAUGAUCUGCUGCAGGGUGGGAACAUAAAGCCCGUGGAGAAGUGAUGAAUGGAACUGAAACGUGAGCCCCGUUUCUGGAGCAUCCUCGGCGCUUUGGGGCACGUUUGCGAAACACUCUCAGUCUCACUCUCAGCCUCAUCAGAUAACCUGUGAGUGAUGGCUCCUCUGAUGGAGAAGGAGGAAGGAGGUUGGUGCUUUCGUGGUUUAUCAUUCUGGUAAGAUGCCUGUGGUGGAAUUAGGGCAGGUCUCGGAGCUGAUAACUGAGCAGUUCUGUGGCCGAGCGAGCUCAUGGAGCUGGUGGCCUCGUGCUCUCUCUCCCACCAUGGGGAGAGGUUUCUUACAGAGGUGUUGAGGGGAGCAAAGAGCCCUAUUCCCUGCAGCUCUGAUUGAGAUCAAAUGCUUUGUCCCCCAGAAAAUCCAGCUGGGAAAAUAUCCCUGAAGUGAGGGAGUAGAUGAAGAUCCUGAGCUUAUAUUCAUGGAAAACAGCUCACCGUGUGUUUGCUGUACUUCUGUCCCUCUCUCAGUGGGAAGAUUUUUUUUUUUUAAUUAACUCUACCAUGUAUUUAAUAUAAUCAAAAAUGUCUUCACUGUGGCCUUCUGUGCAAGCUGUGGUUGAAAAGCUGUGGAAAGUGUGGUGACAUCACUGGGACUUUUCCAAAGCAGCGGUUUAUUAUCUCAUUGACCAAAGGAGUCUACUGACUCGGGGUUUGAGUUUGUUUAAAAAAUGUAGGAUUUGCCAUAAUCCCUUCUAAAUACUUUACAUGUUCUGAGCAGUCAGACCUGAGACUGCCAUGGGCUGAUAACAGCCUGGGAGCAGGGGCUUGCUUUUCACUUUGGUACGUGCUCAGGAAGUGGCGGGGCUCUUCCUCUUAAUAAUAAUCUAAUGCCAUCAGCCACAGGUCCUGCAAAAGAAGUUUCCCAUGUUUUCAGAGGCGGGGAACUGAGAUGCAGUGAUUUACUGAAGGUCUUGCAGCCCGUCAGAGGCGACACCGGGCUGAGGAGCUGAGCUGCUGGUGUCCUGCUGGACACAGAUACAGCCCCUGCGUGUAUGUGAUUUAGUAGCCAAGUACAGCCAGGUAAAAGGAUGAUUUUUGUCAUUCACAUUGAACUCCCAUUUGUGCUGUCAGGAAAGCCAGGUGUAUAGGACAGCACUGGCCUGUGGGGCUGUGGAGGUGAUGGCUCUGCCUCAGGUAGCGACCGGCACAAAGCAGGCACUGGGAGUUAUCAGACACGUGCUCCAGAGCAUUCAAAACAGUGGAUAAAGAAUAAUUUGAAGCUGUGCAGACUGGGAGCCAGGUCUCCUAGCAUGCUUGGUGGACAAUGGGUAGGCACAGGUGAUGAAAACUCCCAGAAAUUUCCUGCCGAGGAAGCCUGAAAGAGCGGGUUGAUGACCUCUGUCUUCCCAGAAACAUCCAGGAUGUGCUCUGGUAUCUGAUGAGAUGGAUGAACUCUUGAUGGCUGGAAGGGUGGUGCAGGUAUGUGGGAGGCAUCCAGAGGAGUGGCUGGGUUGGAAGUGGCUGUUUGGCCAUCCCUGUGGCACGGACAGCAGUGUGACUUUGAGUUUACAAUCUGGCAUCUCCUGAGCCUUCCUGGUGGGCUCGCGUGCCCCAUACCAGGGUGGUCUAAGGGCUUUACAGCAGAGACAGCAGCUAAUGCUGUUUUCCAACCCAUCCUUUUGCUGUGGUUUUCACUGUCUGCUGAGAAGCUGAGAGGAAAGAGCCCUCCUUCAUUAAGAAACCCUUUCCUCCUCCUAGCUCCGACCAUAACCGGCUCCCCGACCUGCAGGCGGCCCUCGCUGCAGAAGUCAGGCUCCUCUCCAAGCACAACUGGCCCCGCGCGUCUGGCCUCAAGUUGCAGCAUUCAGGCAGCAUGACCUCACCUCCUGGUUUCCAAGAAUAACGUGCUGCCUCCCCUGUGCCGCGCCGGGACUGUCUGCAGUGGCUGCCCUGGCACGAGGACUGUGUGCAUGACUGGUGCCUGGAGGCUCAUUUUGG